AGAGUUUGAUCCUGGCUCAGGAUGAACGCUGGCGGCGUGCCUAACACAUGCAAGUCGAGCGAAGCACUUUACUUUGAGAUCUUCGGAAGGAAAAGUUUUGUGACUGAGCGGCGGACGGGUGAGUAACGCGUGGGUAACCUGCCCCAUACAGGGGGAUAACAGUUAGAAAUGACUGCUAAUACCGCAUAAGACCACAGCACCGCAUGGUGCAGGGGUAAAAACUCCGGUGGUAUGGGAUGGACCCGCGUCUGAUUAGCUGGUUGGUGAGGUAACGGCCCACCAAGGCAACGAUCAGUAGCCGACCUGAGAGGGUGACCGGCCACAUUGGGACUGAGACACGGCCCAAACUCCUACGGGAGGCAGCAGUGGGGAAUAUUGCACAAUGGGGGAAACCCUGAUGCAGCGACGCCGCGUGAGCGAAGAAGUAUUUCGGUAUGUAAAGCUCUAUCAGCAGGGAAGAAAAUGACGGUACCUGACUAAGAAGCACCGGCUAAAUACGUGCCAGCAGCCGCGGU
rnacentral:rRNA from 1 species